rnacentral:rRNA from 1 species
GUCCACGCCGUAAACGUUGGGCGCUAGGUGUGGGGCUCAUUCCACGAGUUCCGUGCCGCAGCUAACGCAUUAAGCGCCCGCCUGGGGAGUACGGCCGCAAGGCUAAAACUCAAAGGAAUUGACGGGGGCCCCGCACAAGCGGCGGAGCAUGUUGCUUAAUUCGAUGCAACGCGAAAGAACCUUACCUAGGCUUGACAUGCACGGAAAUCCUCCAGAGAUGGUGGGUCCGUAAAGGGUCGUGCACAGGUGGUGCAUGGUUGUCGU